rnacentral:rRNA from 1 species
UUAAGCGACUAAGCGUACACGGUGGAUGCCUAGGCAGUCAGAGGCGAUGAAGGGCGUGCUAAUCUGCGAAAAGCGUCGGUAAGGUGAUAUGAACCGUUAUAACCGACGAUACCCGAAUGGGGAAACCCAGUGCAAUUCGUUGCACUAUUGCAUGGUGAAUACAUAGCCAUGCAAGGCGAACCGGGGGAACUGAAACAUCUAAGUACCCCGAGGAAAAGAAAUCAACCGAGAUUCCCCCAGUAGCGGCGAGCGAACGGGGAACAGCCCAGAGUCUGAAUCAGUUUGUGUGUUAGUGGAAGCGUCUGGAAAGUCGCACGGUACAGGGUGAUAGUCCCGUACACCAAAACACGCAUUCUGUGAACUCGAUGAGUAGGGCGGGACACGUGACAUCCUGUCUGAAUAUGGGGGGACCAUCCUCCAAGGCUAAAUACUCCUGACUGACCGAUAGUGAACCAGUACCGUGAGGGAAAGGCGAAAAGAACCCCGGCGAGGGGAGUGAAAUAGAACCUGAAACCGUGUACGUACAAGCAGUGGGAGCCUACUAGUUGGGUGACUGCGUACCUUUUGUAUAAUGGGUCAGCGACUUAUAUUUUGUAGCAAGGUUAACCGAAUAGGGGAGCCGUAGGGAAACCGAGUCUUAACUGGGCGAAUAGUUGCAAGGUAUAGACCCGAAACCCGGUGAUCUAGCCAUGGGCAGGUUGAAGGUUGGGUAACACUAACUGGAGGACCGAACCGACUAAUGUUGAAAAAUUAGCGGAUGACUUGUGGCUGGGGGUGAAAGGCCAAUCAAACCGGGAGAUAGCUGGUUCUCCCCGAAAGCUAUUUAGGUAGCGCCUCGUGAACUCAUCUUCGGGGGUAGAGCACUGUUUCGGCUAGGGGGUCAUCCCGACUUACCAAACCGAUGCAAACUCCGAAUACCGAAGAAUGUUAUCACGGGAGACACACGGCGGGUGCUAACGUCCGUCGUGAAGAGGGAAACAACCCAGACCGCCAGCUAAGGUCCCAAAGUCAUGGUUAAGUGGGAAACGAUGUGGGAAGGCACAGACAGCCAGGAUGUUGGCUUAGAAGCAGCCAUCAUUUAAAGAAAGCGUAAUAGCUCACUGGUCGAGUCGGCCUGCGCGGAAGAUGUAACGGGGCUAAACCAUGCACCGAAGCUGCGGCAGCGACACUUAGGUGUUGUUGGGUAGGGGAGCGUUCUGUAAGCCGUUGAAGGUGACCUGUGAGGGUUGCUGGAGGUAUCAGAAGUGCGAAUGCUGACAUAAGUAACGAUAAUGCGGGUGAAAAACCCGCACGCCGGAAGACCAAGGGUUCCUGUCCAACGUUAAUCGGGGCAGGGUGAGUCGACCCCUAAGGCGAGGCCGAAAGGCGUAGUCGAUGGGAAACAGGUUAAUAUUCCUGUACUUGGUGUUACUGCGAAGGGGGGACGGAGAAGGCUAGGCUAGCCGGGCGACGGUUGUCCCGGUUUAAGCAUGUAGGCGGAGUGACUUGGUAAAUCCGGUUGCUUAUCAACGCUGAGGUGUGAUGACGAGCCACUACGGUGGUGAAGUAGUUGAUGCCAAGCUUCCAGGAAAAGCCUCUAAGCAUCAGGUAACAUUAAAUCGUACCCCAAACCGACACAGGUGGUCAGGUAGAGAAUACUCAGGCGCUUGAGAGAACUCGGGUGAAGGAACUAGGCAAAAUGGUGCCGUAACUUCGGGAGAAGGCACGCUGGCGUUAGGUAAUGGGACUUGCUCCCGGCGCCGAAGCCAGUCGCAGAUACCAGCUGGCUGCAACUGUUUAAUAAAAACACAGCACUGUGCAAACACGAAAGUGGACGUAUACGGUGUGACGCCUGCCCGGUGCUGGAAGGUUAAUUGAUGGGGUCAGCCUUACGGCGAAGCUCUUGAUCGAAGCCCCAGUAAACGGCGGCCGUAACUAUAACGGUCCUAAGGUAGCGAAAUUCCUUGUCGGGUAAGUUCCGACCUGCACGAAUGGCGUAAUGAUGGCCAGGCUGUCUCCACCCGAGACUCAGUGAAAUUGAACUCGCUGUGAAGAUGCAGUGUACCCGCGGCAAGACGGAAAGACCCCGUGAACCUUUACUAUAGCUUGACACUGAACAUUGAGCCUUGAUGUGUAGGAUAGGUGGGAGGCAUUGAAGUGUGGACGCCAGUCUGCAUGGAGCCAACCUUGAAAUACCACCCUUUAAUGUUUGAUGUUCUAACUCGGCCCCAUAAUCUGGGGUGAGGACAGUGUCUGGUGGGUAGUUUGACUGGGGCGGUCUCCUCCCAAAGAGUAACGGAGGAGCACGAAGGUUAGCUAAUCACGGUCGGACAUCGUGAGGUUAGUGCAAAGGCAUAAGCUAGCUUGACUGCGAGAGUGACGGCUCGAGCAGGUACGAAAGUAGGUCUUAGUGAUCCGGUGGUUCUGAAUGGAAGGGCCAUCGCUCAACGGAUAAAAGGUACUCCGGGGAUAACAGGCUGAUACCGCCCAAGAGUUCAUAUCGACGGCGGUGUUUGGCACCUCGAUGUCGGCUCAUCACAUCCUGGGGCUGAAGUAGGUCCCAAGGGUAUGGCUGUUCGCCAUUUAAAGUGGUACGCGAGCUGGGUUUAGAACGUCGUGAGACAGUUCGGUCCCUAUCUGCCGUGGGCGUUGGAAGAUUGAGAGGGGCUGCUCCUAGUACGAGAGGACCGGAGUGGACGAAUCACUGGUGUUCGGGUUGUCAUGCCAAUGGCAUUGCCCGGUAGCUAAAUUCGGAAGAGAUAACCGCUGAAAGCAUCUAAGCGGGAAACUUGCCUCGAGAUGAGUCUUCCCUGGGGCUUUAAGCCCCCUGAAGGAACGUUUAAGACUAAGACGUUGAUAGGCUGGGUGUGUAAGUGCAGCGAUGCAUUGAGCUAACCAGUACUAAUGAUCCGUGAGGCUUAACCUU